UUCAACUGAAAUUUUCAAGAUUCAACUUCAAAAUAAGCUGAUCAAAACUCUACAGUAUUAACAUCAUUUUUGUGGUUUUUGCUUCUUUUGGCAUAAUUUUUGUGUACCAUAAAAAAGGUACAAUUGAAUUUGUAAGCAAAGUUUAAAGAAUAUAGAAAUUGAAUUGAUUGAUCAAUGCUAUAAAUGAAAAGAUAAGUAAAAUAGUUGAAAUAGAUUAAAAUAAUGUAGGUUGUAUUGGCUUAAGCUUGAUGAUAUCCUCGGGAUAAAUUCGAUAGUUCCUAAUUAGUAUGCAUUGAAUGCUAUAAACGGAAAGAAAAGUAAAAUAAUUGAAAUAGAACAAAAAAAUGUAGCUUGUAUUGGCUUAAAUCUGAUGAUAUUCUUAGCAUGGGAGAAAUUCGAUAGAUCCUACUAGUAUGCAACAAUGAUGAACCUCGAGCUAUGCUUUUAAACAAAGAUACAAGUACUCCUUCCAUUUUGUCAAAUUUUGACUUAACACACGUAUUAAGAAAACAAUAAUUGGUAUAGUGAGUUUACUAUUUUACUCCUAUUGAUUAAUAGAGUUUUAAAUAAUUUCCUCACUAUAUUUUUCAAAGACAUUAACUUUAUAUUAAUAAAUUGAGGGUAUAAUAGAAAAAAAAUUAUGUUUUCUUGAUUUGUCAAAAUUGAUAAGUAAAAAGAAAAAUUAAAUUAGGAAAUAUUUGACAAGUAAAUAGGGAUGGAGGGAGUAUUUGAUAGGAAGAAUUCGAUGAUUUACAAGGUGAUGAUCCUACAACUUUUAUAGAGGUGGCUUUUUAGGAACUAAUUGCGAGGUAUUAACCCCUUAUUAAUUUAUGAUAAAUAAUUGAUUGAAUGAUAUUUAAGAGUAAAUAAGUAAUGCCCAACGUCGUCUAUGGGUCGAUUUGGCAACAGCUAGUGUUGGCGGCUGAUUUUUCUUUCAAAUGUUUUGAGUGCGUUAUAUCACAUAACUACAUCUAGUACAUAAAAUUUUAUUUCUUUUAUCAGUCCUCCAACAUUGACUAGUAGUAUGAUCUCGCCUUUUGUUGUUUCACUAGUCAUGUUGAAUCCAGAUAGAGCCCUUACGAUCAGAAUUAUCCUAUUCAGUAUUUUUAUUUUUUCCACCACCGUUCAAGGGAUUAUGUUGGCAGAGCUAUCUGAAUUUAUCAAUAAACUUUUAAUUUGAAUGUCACUAAUGCUUACGAUGAUUACCAGACCAUCGUUAUGAGGCUGGAUAACGCCCUGCAGGUCGUCAUCGUUGAAGUAAAUGUGACGUUGUUUACUUGUGCUCCUCCAAUUAUCAACAUGGUCUGAUGCUGCUAGUUGAACAUGUGCUUCAACAUCUUUACUUUUCACAAAGUUGCAUUUAGCUUAGUCACUGAGGAAUUGACCUUCUUUUAGCAGUCAGACCACCUCUUCUCAUACAUGGCGGUAGACUCCAGUGCGGCGUCCGUGAGUUUCAUGAAAUUAGGGUUGAAUCUGAUUGGUUUUGACCAUCUUGCAUAUUUGACUUGUCUGAUGGCUCCCGCCAAGUCUCCAAAGUCUACAUUGAAGUAUACUCGAAUAGGUGCAAUACUUUUAUAUUAUUUAUUUUUACCAUUAUUGGUCUUGCUACAUUCUAUUCAAUAGGCUUCUAUUAUGAUUCUGAUCACUUCUUUUUAUCAUACUUUGCUUUCUCUAACGCUUGAUAAUAUCUCGGGGUCUUUCCAUUAAAGGAAAAGGUUGAUACCUUUUUCUAGAGGCUUUAAAUCGUAAUCCAUACUCCUGUUGUGACUAAUCGUUCCUGUGUACAUUAAUUGAAUCAACUGGUCAUUUUCAACUCUAA